UCGAGGAUCUUCGGCAAUGGGGGCAACCCUGACCGAGCGACGCCGCGUGGGCGACGAAGGCCUUCGGGUUGUAAAGCCCUGUCGAGGGGGAGGAAGGCCGCGAGGCUUGACCCAUCCCUGGAGGAAGCACGGGCUAAGUUCGUGCCAGCAGCCGCGGUAAGACGAACCGUGCGAACGUUGUUCGGAAUCACUGGGCUUAAAGGGCGCGUAGGCGGGCUGCCGCGUCCGCGGUGAAAGCCCCCGGCUCAACCGGGGAAGUGCCGCGGGUACGGGCGGCCUGGAGGCGGGUAGGGGCGUGCGGAACUCUGGGUGGAGCGGUGAAAUGCGUUGAUAUCCAGAGGAACUCCGGUGGCGAAGGCGGCACGCUGGACCCGUCCUGACGCUGAGGCGCGAAAGCCAGGGGAGCGAACGG
rnacentral:rRNA from 1 species